GUGUCGGUGGUGCAACGGUUUAGCACAUGCUCCCAGAAAGUAAGAUAUGGGUUCGAAUUCCGCCUGACGCG